CCUCCUUUCCUCCCUCCUUUCCUCCCCCUCCCUCCUUUCCUCCCUCCUUUCUACCUACACCUUGUUUACAAAUUAACCUGAUCAGAGGUGUUUGUUACAUAUCUCAGUUUUGUAUUUAUAAGAAGAAGAAAAAAAUAUUCAGAAAUGCAACCCAUGAAAAAGGCAGGUUGGCAUCUGCAGGUUGUGGGAUUUAGCCCCAUCCUGCAGAUUCUGGGGGUUAAGUCCCAUCCUGUUGGCAGGUUGUGGGAUUUAGCCCCAUCCUGCAGGUUCUGGGGGUUAAGUCCCCAGUCCUGUAGGCAGGUUGUGGGAUUUAGCACCAUCCUGCAGAUUCUGGGGGUUAAGUCCCAUCCAGUCUGCAGGUUGUGGGAUUUAGCACCAUCCUGCAGGUUCUGGGGGUUAAGUCCCAUCCAGUCUGCAGGUUGUGGGAUUUAGCACCAUCCUGCAGAUUCUGGGGGUUAAGUCCCAUCCAGUCUGCAGGUUGUGGGAUUUAGCACCAUCCUGCAGGUUCUGGGGUUAAGUCCCAUCCAGUCUGCAGGUUGUGGGGUUUAGCCCCAUCCUGCAGGUUCUGGGGGUUAAGACCCUGCCCUGUGUUUGCUGAACCAUCAGUGGGCAUGGCAACACGUAUCCUGGCUACACCACUGCGUGUCUCUGUCCCUACCCUCUACAUCCUCUGCUUCCAUAGGUGUUGUGAUGAGAUAGCCCCUCCCCUGUCCUUGUAUGUGCAUGCACGAUGGUUCUUCCACUUAACAAUAACAAUCAAUAAAGUUUGUCAAGAUAA